AGUGAACGCUGGCGGUAGGCCUAACACAUGCCAGUCGAACGGCAGCACAGUAAGAGCUUGCUCUUACGGGUGGCGAGUGGCGGACGGGUGAGGAAUACAUCGGAAUCUACUUUUUCGUGGGGGAUAACGUAGGGAAACUUACGCUAAUAUCGCAUACGACCUACGGGUGAAAGCAGGGGAUCUUCGGACCUUGCGCGAUUGAAUGAGCCGAUGUCGGAUUAGCUAGUUGGCGGGGUAAAGGCCCACCAAGGCGACGAUCCGUAGCUGGUCUGAGAGGAUGAUCAGCCACACUGGAACUGAGACACGGUCCAGACUCCUACGGGAGGCAGCAGUGGGGAAUAUUGGACAAUGGGCGCAAGCCUGAUCCAGCCAUACCGCGUGGGUGAAGAAGGCCUUCGGGUUGUAAAGCCCUUUUGUUGGGAAAGAAAAGCAGCAGGUUAAUACCCCGCUGUUCUGACGGUACCCAAAGAAUAAGCACCGGCUAACUUCGUG
rnacentral:rRNA from 1 species